CACCAAUUGUUUGGUUGUUCAUCGGAGUCGUGAGGAAAUCCCAGCCCUGACAAGGGCUCCCUAGACCAGACUUUGAUCAGGUUCUUCUGAACCCUCAUUUCCAUUAGACGUCCUCCCUGGCUUUCAGCUAGAAGUUACUGGAGUCCAUGAGACAACCCAGACUAGCGCUCCUCCUGCCCCAGCUUCCCGAAUGCUGGAAUUGAAGACGUGACCCACUGUGCCGAGCAUGUUACAGUACUCCUUUUUAUAAACAAAGAAAUAAAAAAAAUAUUUUUUGCGUGUG